rnacentral:rRNA from 1 species
GACGAACGCUGGCGGCGUGCUUAACACAUGCAAGUCGAACGGAAAGGCCCUGCUUUUGUGGGGUGCUCGAGUGGCGAGCGGGUGAGUAACACGUGAGUAACCUGCCCUUGACUUUGGGAUAACUUCAGGAAACUGGGGCUAAUACCGGAUAGGAGCUCCUGCUGCAUGGUGGGGGUUGGAAAGUUUCGGCGGUUGGGGAUGGACUCGCGGCUUAUCAGCUUGUUGGUGGGGUAGUGGCUUACCAAGGCUUUGACGGGUAGCCGGCCUGAGAGGGUGACCGGCCACAUUGGGACUGAAAUACGGCCCAGACUCCUACGGGAGGCAGCAGUGGGGAAUAUUGCACAAUGGGCGGAAGCCUGAUGCAGCAACGCCGCGUGCGGGAUGACGGCCUUCGGGUUGUAAACCGCUUUCGCCUGUGACGAAGCGUGAGUGACGGUAAUGGGUAAAGAAGCACCGGCUAACUACGUG